rnacentral:rRNA from 1 species
UACAGGGGGGGCAAGCGUUGUUCGGAAUUACUGGGCGUAAAGGGCUCGUAGGCGGCCAACUAAGUCACACGUGAAAUCCCCAGGCUUAACCUGGGAACUGCGUGUGAUACUGGAUGGCUUGAAUCCGGGAGAGGGAUGUGGAAUUCCAGGUGUAGCGGUGAAAUGCGUAGAUAUCUGGAGGAACACCGGUGGCGAAGGCGGCAUCCUGGACCGGUAUUGACGCUGAGGCGCGAAAGCUAGGGGAGCAAACGGG